GCCUGUGGAGCUCAAGCGCCCUGGAUGCGAUGGAGCUGGGGGCUCCUGCCGCCGCUACAGAGGCUGGAACUGGUGAUAAAUGCCCCUACGUACGCCCUCGUUUGCUGCUCUGUGUUUAAAGGCACAGCGUUCAAUGCUCCCCCAAACCACCACGUGAAC